rnacentral:rRNA from 1 species
AUUGAACGCUGGCGGCAGGCCUAACACAUGCAAGUCGAACGGUAGCACAGAGAGCUUGCUCUCGGGUGACGAGUGGCGGACGGGUGAGUAACGUCUGGGAAACUGCCCGAUGGAGGGGGAUAACUACUGGAAACGGUAGCUAAUACCGCAUAACGUCGCAAGACCAAAGUGGGGGACCUUCGGGCCUCACACCAUCGGAUGUGCCCAGAUGGGAUUAGCUAGUAGGUGGGGUAAUGGCUCACCUAGGCGACGAUCCCUAGCUGGUCUGAGAGGAUGACCAGCCACACUGGAACUGAGACACGGUCCAGACUCCUACGGGAGGCAGCAGUGGGGAAUAUCGCACAAUGGGCGCAAGCCUGAUGCAGCCAUGCCGCGUGUAUGAAGAAGGCCUUCGGGUUGUAAAGUACUUUCAGCGGGGAGGAAGGCGGUGAAGUUAACAGCUUCACCGAUUGACGUUACCCGCAGAAGAAGCACCGGCUAACUCCGUGCCAGCAGCCGCAGUAA